GACGCGAGCGGCGGAUGGGUGAGUAACACGUGGGGAACCUGCCCCAUAGUCUGGGAUACCACUUGGAAACAGGUGCUAAUACCGGAUAAGAAAGCAGAUCGCAUGAUCAGCUUAUAAAAGGCGGCGUAAGCUGUCGCUAUGGGAUGGCCCCGCGGUGCAUUAGCUAGUUGGUAAGGUAACGGCUUNCCAAGGCAAUGAUGCAUAGCCGAGUUGAGAGACUGAUCGGCCACAUUGGGACUGAGACACGGCCCAAACUCCUACGGGAGGCAGCAGUAGGGAAUCUUCCACAAUGGACGCAAGUCUGAUGGAGCAACGCCGCGUGAGUGAAGAAGGUUUUCGGAUCGUAAAGCUCUGUUGUUGGUGAAGAAGGAUAGAGGUAGUAACUGGCCUUUAUUUGACGGUAAUCAACCAGAAAGUCACGGCUAACUACGUGCCAGCAGCCGCGGUAAUACGUAGGUGGCAAGCGUUGUCCGGAUUUAUUGGGCGUAAAGCGAGCGCAGGCGGAAGAAUAAGUCUGAUGUGAAAGCCCUCGGCUUAACCGAGGAACUGCAUCGGAAACUGUUUUUCUUGAGUGCAGAAGAGGAGAGUGGAAUUCCAUGUGUAGCGGUGGAAUGCGUAGAUAUAUGGAAGAACACCAGUGGCGAAGGCGACUCUCUGGUCUGCAACUGACGCUGAGGCUCGAAAGCAUGGGUAGCGAACAGGAUUAGAUACCCUGGUAGUCCAUGCCGUAAACGAUGAGUGCUAAGUGUUGGGAGGUUUCCGCCUCUCAGUGCUGCAGCUAACGCAUUAAGCACUCCGCCUGGGGAGUACGACCGCAAGGUUGAAACUCAAAGGAAUUGACGGGGGCCCGCACAAGCGGUGGAGCAUGUGGUUUAAUUCGAAGCAACGCGAAGAACCUUACCAGGUCUUGACAUCUAGUGCCAUCCUAAGAGAUUAGGAGUUCCCUUCGGGGACGCUAAGACAGGUGGUGCAUGGCUGUCGUCAGCUCGUGUCGUGAGAUGUUGGGUUAAGUCCCGCAACGAGCGCAACCCUUGUUAUUAGUUGCCAGCAUUAAGUUGGGCACUCUAAUGAGACUGCCGGUGAUAAACCGGAGGAAGGUGGGGAUGACGUCAAGUCAUCAUGCCCCUUAUGACCUGGGCUACACACGUGCUACAAUGGACAGUACAACGAGAAGCGAGCCUGCGAAGGCAAGUGAAUCUCUGAAAGCUGUUCUCAGUUCGGACUGCAGUCUGCAACUCGACUGCACGAAGCUGGAAUCGCUAGUA
rnacentral:rRNA from 1 species